ACGACCUGUCUCUGUUUGCAAACAACCCCUCAAACAAAUCCCACCCGCCUUUAAAACGAAACGUUUUAAUCGUUCAUUUCUUUAAUUGUACUAUCAGACAAAAAUAGUUGUAAAUAAACCAAAAAAAAUAAAAACCCUCAAAAAAUGAAAACAAGACGAGAAACUUCGAAGGAUUUAUAAAACUAAUCGAAGGAAGAAGAAGAAGAAGAAGAAGAAGAAAAAUUAAGAAUUUGUUGAGCGAUCGAUCUGUUUACUGAUGGACUUGCCGAGCUCAUGGGAUGCUUUACGCAAACAGGCAAGGAAACUUGAAGCUCAGUUGGAUGAGCAGAUGAAUAUAUACCGUAAGUUGGUCUCCACUAAGGUUUCAACGAAAGUUGACUCAGAAGAGAGCAAUCUUGAAUCUGGUAUAGACCGACUACUAAAACAGCUACAACAAGUGAAUAUGCAAAUGCAAGACUGGGUAUCGUCUGGUGGAUCUGAAAUGGUUUCUCAUACCUUGACUCGGCAUCAGGAAAUUCUUCAAGAUCUCACUCAGGAGUUCUAUCGUCUCCGCUCUAGCCUUAGAGCUAAACAAGAACAUGCUUCACUUCUUGAUGAUUUUAGGGAGUUUGAUCGGACUAGAUUAGACUUGGAAGAAGGUGUUGGUUCCACAGAACAGGCUCUACUUAAGGAGCAUGCAGCCAUCAGCCGAAGUACAGGACAGAUGGAUAGUGUGAUUUCACAAGCUCAAGCAACUCUUGGUGCACUUGUUCUUCAACGUUCAACUUUUGGGGGGAUUAAUUUAAAGCUCAGCAAUGUUGGCAGCCGCCUUCCAACAGUAAAUCAUAUUCUGUCUGCAAUAAAGAGGAAAAAGUCUAUGGAUACAAUCAUUCUGUCCCUCGUUGCAUCUGUAUGCACGUUUGUUAUCUUCAUCUACUGGUUGAGCAAGUGACGAUGUGUUUUUUGUUGCUGGCCUAUGAUUGUGGUGAAACGGGUUGCCUCUGAUGCUCCGUAUGGAGCUAAGAAGGGAUGUUAUCUUAUGUUGCAAGUUGAUGGUCACAUUUCUUUCUACUAUAAUUACCUUCAUUUGUGUAGCACUAUGGAUUUUCAAAGUAUAGAAUCCUUGUCAUCGAUCGCUUCAAAAUGAUUGAAGUUCCUAUACAGAAGCUCUCAGCCUCAGACGCGAGUUUGGUUUAAAUUAUUAUGAUGUGUACACCUAAUUUCUUUAUAGUAGGGCACGACUGAAGGUACAAUCUUUCAUCAAGAUACACCUAGGUUGGAACUUUUUCUCUCAAAAAUUGAAUCUUCAGCUGAGAAAGAUGAGCUGAAAAGUAAGCCAGCUGAUACCACACAUCGGCAAAACGUUUGUAAAAUGGUCGGAUGGGGGAUAAAAUUUCUACGAAAUGAAUUUACUUCAAUUGAAUCUGUUUCUCUCACAUGAUAUAAAAGAGAAUGUUCAUUGGACAGGCUUGGGAAGUAAGUUUUAUGAGGUGAACAAG